rnacentral:rRNA from 1 species
AUUGAACGCUGGCGGCAGGCCUAACACAUGCAAGUCGAGCGAGCGGCGGACGGGUGAGUAAUGUCUGGGACACUGCCUGAUGGAGUGGGAUAACUACUGGAAACGUUAGCUAAUACCGCAUACCAUCAGAUGUGCCCAGAUGGGAUUAGCUGGUAGGUGGGGUAACGGCUCACCUUGGCGACAAUCCCUAGCUGGUCGGCGAGGAGAACCAGCCAGACGGGAACGGAGACACGGUCCAGAGCCCUACGGGAGGCAGCAGUGGUGAAUAUGGCACAAUGGGCGCAAGCCUGAUGCAGCCAUGCCGGGUGUGGGAAGAAGGCCUGCGGGUGGUAAAGCACUUUCAGCGGGGAGGCGUUACCCGCAGAAGAAGCACCGGCUAAGUCCGUGCCAGCAGCCGCGGUAAUAC